ACGUAGGGUGCGAGCGUUAAUCGGAAUUACUGGGCGUAAAGCAUGCGCAGGCGGUUUUGUAAGCCAGAUGUGAAAUCCCCGGGCUCAACCUGGGAAUGGCAUUUGGGACUGCAAGGCUGGAGUGCGGCAGAGGAGACUGGAAUUCCUGGUGUAGCAGUGAAAUGCGUAGAUAUCAGGAGGAAUACCGAUGGCGAAGGCGGGUCUCUGGGCCUUACCUGACGCUGAGGAGCGAAAGCAUGGGUAGCCAACAGGA
rnacentral:rRNA from 1 species